GACGAACGCUGGCGGCGUGCUUAACACAUGCGAGUCGAACGGAAAGGCCCUGCUUUUGUGGGGUGCUCGAGUGGCGAACGGGUGAGUAACACGUGAGUAACCUGCCCUUGACUUUGGGAUAACUUCAGGAAACUGGGGCUAAUACCGGAUAGGAGCUCCUGCUGCAUGGUGGGGGUUGGAAAGUUUCGGCGGUUGGGGAUGGACUCGCGGCUUAUCAGCUUGUUGGUGGGGUAGUGGCUUACCAAGGCUUUGACGGGUAGCCGGCCUGAGAGGGUGACCGGCCACAGUGGAACUGAGACACGGUCCAGACUCCUACGGGAGGGAGCAGUAGGGGAGCUUACGCAAUGGGCGAGAGCGUGGCGGAGCAACGCCGCGUGAGUGAUGAAGGUCGUCGGAGCGUAAAACUCUGUUAUUAGGGAAGAAAAAAUGUGUAAGUAACUAUGCACGUCUUGACGGUACCUAAUCAGAAAGCCACGGCUAACUACGUG
rnacentral:rRNA from 1 species